rnacentral:lncRNA from 1 species
AAGAUUGAUAGGACAAUGGUAAAGUAAUACUAAUGUUUCAAAACAGCUACAGUCUUACUUGGAGUUCCACUCGGGCCAUUCAUCAUCCAGUGGAUCCAGAGCCUGUUCACGGGGUGCUGAGAACUACGGAAAAUGACGUAAGAAGUUCUUCACGAAGGAUGGGCAGUCAGAACCACGACACAAGUGCCUGAUGGCUCAGUGUACACUCCUUUCCAACGCCUCCACGCAAGUUCGAUACUGUUGGAGCUCCUCUGUUUCCACUCAAGUUGGAGCGGUGCUUUGUCUCAAGUCUUGGAACUAGGUAACAGGCCGGGAGGGAGGAGACACGAAACGUUGCUAACGGUCCUUAGCAAUUUCCUGGACCCAAAGCUUUCCUCAGUGAUGUGUGAAGCUAAGCUGUCCAUCCAGCUGUGCUACCCCGAUUCGCUAAAGAUGUGGAACUAAA